UCGCGCUAGACGGGGAGCUAGCGGUGCCCUGUACCCGCAAUCCGCUUCAGCGGGGUCGAAUUCCCCUUUGAGGGGUCCGCGGUCCGUGUCCGUUCGGCGUGCGACCGCGUUGACGGUCAGGUCCUGCGCAGCCUGGUCCCGCCAAUCCCGUCAGGUCCGGAAGGAAGCAGCGGUCCGCGGGGAGCCGGGGGUGCCGCAGCCCACCGGGCCCGAGUGGUCGGCGCGGAGCGGCCGGGCCCCGGCAUCACGAGGAGGGGUGCGCGG
rnacentral:SRP_RNA from 1 species